rnacentral:rRNA from 1 species
UACGUAGGGGGCUAGCGUUGUCCGGAAUCAUUGGGCGUAAAGAGCGCGUAGGCGGCCAGAUAAGUCCGGUGUGAAAGUCAAAGGCUCAACCUUUGAAUGCCGCUGGAAACUGUCUGGCUAGAGUCCGGGAGGGGCGAGUGGAAUUCCCGGUGUAGCGGUGAAAUGCGCAGAUAUCGGGAAGAACACCCGUGGCGAAGGCGGCUCUCUGGGACGGUACUGACGCUGAGACGCGAAAGCGUGGGGAGCGAACAGG